CGUUAAUCCCCUCCGGCGGCUGGGCUGGUGCAGCGGCGGGCAUGCGGGGUGAGAGAGGGAUGUGGCUUGUGUCAUUUACAGUAUCCCCGAGCUCCUGGUGGUUACGGGAUAAGUAGGAGAGCGAUAACGAAAGGCGAUGCUCAGCUUGUGCCGGCAGUACAGACAAAAGCAGAGAAGAAGAGCAGGUGCACGGCGUUUCGGCUGCGCCCCACCUGCGCUCCCAGGGUGGCCGGGUUUCAAGGGAAAGCACGGCCUCAUAAUCUCCCAUCUUUCGUUUUUAGGUUACCGUGUUAAUUUGCACGUUCGCUUUGAUGCUCUUGGCUUGCGUGGAAGGUGCCUGUCGAUGCACGGGCAGCGGUGAGUGCACGCACGAGACCGUGUCCGCUGCCCGGGAGAAGCAUCUCGCGUUCAGGAGGACGGAGGGCUGCACAGGGUAAAUUAGUGCAUGUCUGCAGCACUUCUGGUUUCACUCUGUUGUGCUUAUGGCAAGGAAGGUCUUGAUCCAAGCUGUUCAGUGUCAUCAGAAAUCCCAGUGUUGCUUUCAAGGGCUUUCUUGGUUGAAUUCAGCUGCUUCUUACUUGGGAAAAAACAGUUCCUUUGCCCUCGACUAUGAUCCUACUAAAAAACUGAAGACAUUUAUGAAGAAUACCCUCUCAUCUAAUUUUGGCUUUGGAAGGCUUUAUUAUUGUGUAUGUGCAGGUCCUCUCUUCCCAAACAUAAUGUAGGAGUUGCCUGUCUUAACUUCUUUCUUAAUGUUAUAGUGAGCAGUUUCAGGGCAGCUCUGGCUGCGGGUAGCAGCCGUGGGGUUUUUAAACCGGGGCAGGAAACACGGUCCUUGUCCGGCCACGGCGUUCCACAUCCUGAAGCUGGUGUGAAUCUGAACUGGACAAAAACUCGCACAAUUUCCCAUGAAUCACCAAACUGAAGGAGAAAGUUAAAAGCCAUUGAAACAUUUCUUUAUUUUGUAAUGCUUAAUGUGAAUUUUGACUUUUUCUUUUAUGAAAACCUGUUUAUAGAUAAAUAUUCUAAAUGCUGUAAAAAGCUGUUUGAAAAAUCUGAAAACAUGAGUUCUCAAAACAAAUGUUUAAACAUAGCGUUUUUAGAAGGUUAACUGUUUCUCCCUGAAAGGAAAAGAGAGACAGGAGACUUCUCAAGCAGUAACCUAUUUUGUGAAUCUGUCAUUUAAAUGAACAAGCAUUUUUCAGUGAUCUUCAUUUUUUUGGCAAAAAUCUCCUGGCUACGUCCACUUUUUAUGGCAUUUGAUGCAGUGGAAGAAGAAGAAUAUUGUAAAGUGGAAAAUGGAACAGGAAAGAAAUGCACUUUUACAGCAAGCAGGAUGAUGGUUCUGGUCUUACUGGUGUGCUAGCAGCCCACCAAGGUAACGGGAAGGACCAUCGCAGUUGGCCUCUGGGCCAGGUUUGGUGAUGGUUUGCCAAUUAUGAAGUACAGGUGCACUGUCACACUCCUAAUUUCCUGUCGCCUCCUUUAUCUUACAAGUCUUCGGGGCUAUAGGUAGACCCGGUAGAGAAUUACCUGGCGCAUAAUUGACUCCUCCAUUCAAUACUAUAAAUACGUCAGGGUAGAAUAACCCUUUAUUACUCUGGAAUGAAAUAAAGAUGUGAGUUCCAAUGUCAUACUUCAUGUAUUCCAUCAGCACUUCCAAUAUCAUUCAUAAGCAAUAAAUUAUAAUAUGAUAUAAUUUAAUAUAAUUCUGCUUCCAGUAUGAAAAAACUAUAUUCAGAAAUUCAAUCAAAUAGCUUGAUUUUUCAAGUGCACAAAGCACCUGAGGGCUCCCAGUAACUUCUUGUGUUAACAGAGAGUUUUCUCUAGAUAUAGGAUUCAUGAUAGCAAGCUGUGAGGCUGAAUGGUUAAAGCAAUUAUCCCCUAGAAAUUCCCAAAGCUUUUUUUCAACCAGUUUGAGCAGUUAAAGCAGGCAGAAAGGAAAUUAUCUGAACAAUUUUUCAUUGGAAAAUGCACUUCCGUGGAAACUGAAAUGGUCGAUGAGAACAUCAGUUUUCAUAAAUUUUUCCAUGGAAGAAUUCUGAAAGGAUUGACAAAAAGGGAAAGUGAAUGUUAGUGUAGACCUUAAGAUUUUAGUCUUUUUACACUUUUAAAAAUAUUACAUAAUUGCCAAAAUGCUUUGCUUCCAAAAGGUCAUUCUGCUAUUUUCAAACCAGAAUUCUGGGGGUUUUCCAUUACAUAAAUAUUUUUGGUAUUUGGAUCUUCCUGAUUCAGAACAAAGCCAAUUUUGUAAUAGAGGAAUUCUUCUCAAGAAUAAGAUUUUGUUUUUCUUGAUGCAUUUAAUUUUUACACUGUCAUGUUGGGUGACCCUUGGACUGAUGCUUUGACACUGGGCAAGAAGUGGAGGACCGUUACUUGAUGAAUGUCAAAUUGAACCCUGUUGAACCCUACUCUGCAAGCACUCUUGAAAAAAUAAAAAUAAAUCUGUCUUGCUAGUAUGUUUAAAAACAAAGAUCAGAAAAGACUUAAAAAAUCAAUUAUUUAGCAUGAUCAGUUGACCUGGCAUGGUGAAAUCAGCACCCAGGAAGAUCAAAGUUGGUCUCCAAAAUCCUAAGAACUCUAAUUAACAUAGCAGUGACGGAUGCUGCUGCUUUAGGCCUUGUUCCAGCAAAGCACUUCAGCAUAGACUCAACUUGGAGCUGGGGAGCAGUCCCCGUGGCCUCACAUGGGCUCCAGACUGGGUUAAGUGCUUUCCCGUGCUGGCGAGUUAGCAGAUCUGUUUCGGCUGCAGCUGCUGACUCUCUGGAUCGCUUCUCCGAGCUCGCACCGGAUUUCCACAUGUCAGCCGCUGUUGGUCUAGCUUGUGCCAACAUGUUAUUUGCAUUACCGACAUGCUACAUGUGGGAAUGGAUGGUCCCUUUUGAAAUCGGAGCUCACAGGGAGACUCUAGAAGCAAUAGGAUAAAGAUGAGGCAGUUUUGAAACCAAACUAUGCUGCCGAGCUGCGUAGUUAAAGAACGAGUUACUAACGUUCCUCAAAAAUGCACGUUUUUGCCUAAAUGCUAUGCUUUGUGAUGGUAAUUAAUUUGUAUUUAAUUAUUACCUAACUUGGGAAGAAAUGUUCUGAAGAAGUUGAGUCUCUUAACUUUUUUCAUGAAGAUAGAUUCCAUAUUUAGAAUCGCAGCAUUUUGUAUUUUGGGUAACAACGCCAACAGGAGAAUCCUUAGCAAAAGUCACUACUUGCAGUUUUUGCCUUUAGGGCUAUCUCAUAAUUGAGUUUAACUAAUCAGCGCUCCAGAACUUCCAGAUGCAACAGAUAGAGGGUUUGUAAGUGGUUUCCCGAUAUACAUCUUAAUUUCGUAGCAGCAGCUGUAAUUUAGGGGAUUCCAUGCAGAAUAGCAGGGCUUAUGGUGAGCAAAUGCUUUUUUAAAGUUGUACCAGAAAUAAGCUGUCGUGUAUGGUAAAAGAGAUGGAAGUAGACCUCUCCUGGGAUGCGGAGCUUCUGCCUCUUUCCCAUGAUCGCUGGUGAUGGCCAAGACAGCGAAGCGGCGCUCCGGGGAGCUUGAGUUGACCUCGGGGCUCGUCCCCGCAACGGCCAGGCCACCUCCGGUGUAUUGAGAGACUGAGCGCUGAACCGUAGCAACAUUUUUGUAGACAUUUCCCAAAUCCUCUUUAAAUACCUUAUCUUCUGGAGAUGUAUCUGAUUUCCCAGGAUCUCUUCUGUCUUCGAUACGCCGGUAUAAAAACAACAUAGCCAAGUGCAGAACACGGAAAACGUCUGCAGCAGAGAGAAAUCGGGUUUCUUCAGCUUCCAUCAGAGCGAUGAUAAGAGGUGACGUGGACCUUUCCCCAGCCCUGGCUUUGCACAGAGAACUUCAAGCUGAUGGAAGAAACAAACACUUUUAAUGAAACAUAUGCAAGAUACUUAGGAGGAGAAGAUUCACAAUGCAUCUGCUGCGGGACCAGAAGGCUUAUCAGAAGUGUGAAGUAGGAGGAGAAAAAUUACCAGUGUAUGAUGCCAGAGAAGAUUGCAGAAAUAUUAAGCAGAAGGAACGUAAACACAGGGAGCGGGCGGCGAGCGCUGCGCGUCACCCCCGGCACAAAGCCGCUCCGCCGGCGCAAAACUGGCCCCAAACCCUUGAACGUAGGCGCGUGGUGCCCGGUCCUCUCGCGCCUGUGCGAGGAGAGCUGUAGGACACAGGAGCAGCACCACGCUGCGUGGCCCUGGGCUGCUCUCCUGUUCACUCUGCUCCCUACUGAUGACCCCAUAGGCCAGGGCCAUAGCCGGGGCAGAGCUUGAAGCCUUACCUUAAAGCGCUGCCGAGCGGGGAGCAAGCCCAGAAAAGCCAGCUUUUUCCACGGUUUCUCCACAGAAGUGAGUUGGAAAGGAAAAUAAAUGAAGGCAUGCAAAUAGCAAUCCUUCCCCAAACACCCCUGCUCGUGUGCUUUUUUUCUUUUCCUACCACUGUCUUUAAGAAAGCAUCUGGCAAGCCUUUCUUCCAAUUUAUUUUAGCUCAACGCAAACAAACAACAAUGCUAAUAAGCAUAGUAGCAUAUUCAUUAGCCGUGCCGGCGACAGCUUUUGGAGAUAAGGUGAGGAAAGCGGUCUUCAGUUCCACUCGGGGAAACGCGUGCGACCACCACGACAGGGGUUUUAAUCUCCGAUGGCCAAGAGUGGAAGCGUGCACGAGCGCCCGUGAGCGCGGACGGCACCUUCCCCGCUCUGCCAGGACCCGCCUCGGCUUGCGGGCCGCGGGGCUUCGCUACCCACCAGCGGCAGGUGACGAUGGUGCAUUUUUCAGAUUUGAUUCCUAAACCAAUUAGUUUUCCAUACUAUAAACGCCAUUCCUUAUACGCGAUGCAUUAUAAGGGAGGGUUGUCGUUUCUUUAAUGGGAGUCAUUAUUUGAGCCAAAACGCCUGGUCUGUGAGCUGAGUUUGUUGCUGUUGUGCAAAGCCAAAGUGCGGCUGCCGUUCGCUUCGACCCCGUCUUUAAAGCAUCGAGCGAGCACGAAUCCUCGCUCAUUUUUGGAUGCGUGCAUUGCAGAAAGCUUGAGUCAUUUAAGAGCCGCGCACAAGGAACCCGUUAAAUUACAUUUGCAUUAAAUUAACUUGGGUGGUCCGAGCAUUGUCGAACAUCUAAAGGGCUGGAGAAAACAUAUAGCUUAAGAAAUCUAUUAUCGUGCCUGUUACAGCGGUGACCUGUUCGGCCGGUGUCAAGCUGUUUCCUCUUAGGGAGACUCAUUCUUUUUGCUCACAGUGAAAACACCCAGCCUCCCCGAGACGGCGCGACGGGUGGCUCCGAGCAUUUCGCAGCGUGCGGGGCGGUCGCUGCUCUCCGCUGGCUUCCCGGCAGCCGGGGCCGAGCCCCAGCCGUCCGCGUGGCGCGAGGAGAGCGAUGGAAAACCCCUCGUUUCGGCAGCGCAACGCGGCUCCUGCCACACGACUGCUCAUUAGCAGCGAACAAUAAUUCUCUUUGUGUUUGUCCACGUUCGGUGCAGCUUUGUAAGGAGCCAGUGCCCGAUAGACUAAAUCACUGCGAUGGAGACGGUGAGCCAAAUUUAGCUUCCGUUUACUGCCCUCAGGAGAGAUGACCAGAAUGUCAUUAAUAAAGUAAACAGCAGUAGGUGGCUUAUGAGUAAAACACAUUAAUUCCUGAAAGCAGGACACACAUGGCAGCAUGUGCAUUGGCCAAUAGUUUCAAAAUAAUUACGUUUGAGUUGUUUAUAGAAAUGUGGCUAGAUUUUGUUUUAUCUGAACCGACCUGACUUGGAAACCAAGCGCAGUUCUGAUUCCUCUCUAGCCUGAUGGUUCCCUGACCUAUAUCUAUUGCUUAUACUGUGUAUUGGCAAUAACAACAGGAAAAAUGUAGUUGUUUGUGACAAUCGCGACAGAAAAAAUGUUAUUGUUUGUGCGCACGUGUCCAAGGCGGAACACGUCCCAGCUCUUCACGUGUUUUUAUCGCACCUGUGAUGAUGUACGGUAUGGCUGGUGAACACGACGGGGGCAGCAGUGCUUCCCACCCCGCUCAGAGCGGUGGGGAGCCGUGUCCUCGCCUGCUCCCGUGACCAAGGGAGACCAGACAUCUGAAGUAGAUCGUAGAUACUCGCCUCCAGGGCAGGGAAGGCGGUCGGUGGCACGUAGAGCAAGGUCCUGCAGCUCUUCAAAUGCGCACGAACCGCAUUCAGGAGAGCAAGUCCUGCCCCUUGGAUCCCAGCGCCUUUCAGUCCACGGUUCUCCACCCGAGAGCUGUCAAGGCAAGCACGUUCCCCGGUGAGAGGGACCCUGGGAGACCUCCAGUAUUUGCAGGGAGGGCUUUCUUUCUGGGGGACGUCUAAAUGUGGAUCUCCGAAGAGCACAGAAUGCAAUGAAAUAAUGAUUUAAAACAAGCCUUUGAACUUGAAACUGAGGAGAACUUCCAAAGAGUCUUCAGAGGGAGAGAGGGAAGGUGGGACUACGGGAAAUACAGGUGCAGCCAAUUCAAAGUAACCUGAACUAAAAAAGGGAGGGGAGACACAAACGGAGAUGAAAUUUGUGACAAAGAGAUCCCUGUCCUCAAAUAAGCAGGAUGGCCCAUCUCCUGCAGCCACAGGGCCGAUGCUGCUAAACGGAAAGAAGAGUGUGAUCUUGCACGGCAUUCAGCAUCAUCUGAAAAAUUCUGGUGUACAGCCACGAUUUCAUCACUUCAUGGGAUGCAACAUGCGGCAGUGCUGGUUCCUGGCCAGCCUGCUGCCAGGGAGGAAUAUAUUCUUACAGUAAGAGCACAGAACGGUUAUAAUGUGCAUGCUUUUCUUUGAAACUGGCAAACACACUGCACCAGUCCAGACCCUGAAGAGUCCUGCAAAAGGAAACUCUUGAUCGUCACGUGGACGUGUUUGCUGUGGCCUGAGAUGAAUCAUGUGCCGCAUCGGACACAUGAAUGCCUCUAUUUCUAAGAGGCAUUAAGAUAUUUUGUUUGGUUCAUAUCUUCUAAAAUCACUUCAAUAACUCUACUAAUGUUCAGAAGAGGAAGCCUUCUUUAAUGCAAGACUUCUACCCAGCAGCGAGACCUCCACUUUGCCAACCGUGACUGCAAGGCAAGUCUGAAGCACGCAUCCCGCAGCAGCAAGGCGUACCUGGACGCCGGGGCAUAGACUCGCACUGGAGCACGGGAGAAGCAGCUGUGCACCUCCUGUGCCCCUGCUAUGCUCAGCUACGAUCUCUUGAGAAGUAUUUUAUAUAUAUCUAGGACAUAGUGUGUUCUAGAGAUCUUUGGAUUUCCUGCAGCUCUGUGGUGGGACGCUGCCAUGUUACCUGUUAAGAUACAACCAAAAGAGAACUGUGGACACACAAAUCGCUUUCCUUGAGCACUUGCUACGGCUGAGUGGUUUGCCAGGUGCUGAGACGCCUGCGUAACUUGAACACCUAUCUGACGUCUCUCUGAUGGUAGCAAGAAACCUUUCAUGAAUAUGGCGUGUUCAGUCUUGGCACCAAUCUAGCCCUGAAAAGGGCUAGAAGGUAGACAUCUCCUGCUACCAUCAUACUGUAAGAAUCACUGGAAAAAUCAGCACCUGGGGAGAACGGGAUACUCCCCAGCACCACAAAAUCACAAAGAGCUGUCUUAGCACCCUCAAAGUCCUCAAGUUACCCCCCAACAAAUUUGGUAAAAGUGUAUAUAAUGGUCUGACCAUGAUGCCACCGGACUCAGUCCUCAGAUCCUUGAGGUGUGCACUGAUACGUUAUUUGGAGAAAAGCGCUCAUUUGCUGCCAGCCCUUUAUGAUAAAAAUGUUUCGUUCAGUGCUUUGAAAAAGCAGUGGUGGGAACAUUUACAACAGUUCUGCCAAUCCUCCUUGCACCUGUUGGCAUCUGUAGGAAACGGCUGCUCAUAAUUCAAUUAUCUCACUGCAAACUUGAAAAAAAUUCACAAAAGUAAUUCUAGUUAUUCACUUAAGCGAAUGUUUGAUAAUAAGUGUAAUAAACUUGGCAAUCACUUAUAAAUAAAAUAUAGCUUAUUAAAGUACUGUAAUAUGAUGGUAAAGAGCUUAUAGGUUCUUGUAAUUAAAUGGGCUGCAUGUAACCAACUGUGUUGAUAGCUUAACCAUCUUCAACAACUUCAAUGGAGGAGUUUUCUUGAGUAAACCAAGAGGAAAGAUACUGCUUAUGCUAUUAUCUCUCUUAUUUAUUAACUCUCAAAUGCAUAAUAAACUCACCCAGCAUAUUAGUUUGCAAUUGAUGCUACUGUUUGGGAAUAAAGGUUUACGUCUUUCUCUGCUGCCAUUUGAAAGAGCAAGCCAAAAUGAGUAUGACGGCAAGGUCCAUGCACUGAGUUAAGAAAGUCAUUUUUCAUUUCAGGAGAAGUCCUCUCCAAUAAUGGGAAUGCUGAAGGUUAUUACAAUAAUAAAUGAGUUGGCAGUGUGAUUUAUAAAAGAAACUAAUGUACUUUCUUGCGGAACACUGUUUAAUUCCUUGUAAAUCUUGCACUUACUGGACAAAACCUGACUCUCAGAGCCGCUCUGCUGAAAGCCGGCAGAACUGCGAGUUCGUGUGGUUCAUUUCUUGUUGUCCAAACAGCUGUUCUUGAUAGUCCUCCCUGCAGGUAUCUGUUUGGGGAUUAGUAAUGCUUCGCAUGGUCGUACAUCACAAGAAGUGGAUGUGUAAUUACAUUAAACAUGCUUCAUCUCCUUGGAUUCACUUAUCCUGAAUCACUGAUAUUGGCUCAACCCAAUGAGUUUUCUUCAUAGACUGUUUUAUUUUUUAGCAUAAAAAAUGUAUGAUUUGCAAAUAAGAAGCCCUACAUCAGGCAGCAGCUUUCGACUUUCUCACUGGGUGCCUCAGAUCUCAGUGUUACAAUCCCUUUUGCACGGGCACAAAUGACUUGCAUUUUGCUUGUCCGUUUUCUGGAAAUGGCUGUCUGGACGAGGUUGGUGUUUUCCCAGGUAGAAACCGUGGUCAGACACCUGCCAGGGCCACUGCUUCUGCUACGGCUGUAAGAACAGAAGAGAAGGUCUGACUCUGAGAAAUGCUGGCGAACUUAGGUAGUAGUUGCUGCAUGAUUCUGCCCGUAAUUGUCUGCUAACCGUAGUGCCAGAGAGCAUCCAUGGGUCCGGCUUGUUCAAACAGGAAAAUCUCUUUUUAAAGAAGUGAAAAGAUGUCUAUUCCACCUUCAGUAACUCUUGCAGGAUGUCAUUGCAAACGUGUCUUGUGUGUCCAUCCAAUGGACGAAUCAAAGGAGCGUGAAACCGGAGAGCAAGGGUGCUGCGGGCUCUGGAGGUGCUGGGGCAGGUCCUCCUUCCCGAGGCUGAUGGCCUGAGCUUCCAAGAGAGACACGAGUGCAGCCUAACAACCCACGUCGUUACUUGAUCUUCUCCCCGCCGUGGGCAUUGCCACCAAGACAACCGUGCCUGAAUUUUGGAAGCGCAUGGGACACCAGGGCUUGAUUCCCAGGGUUUCCCAGGUGCGCAGCG